GGCAACACACCCGCCCCGAUCCACUGGGAGCAAACCGCUCCGAGCCCCGAGGUGGGACCUGCCCCCGGCGCCCAGCGCGCGUCGAGGCCGUGUCACCGGGUGCGAGGCUGUCGAGGAGGCAGGUCUGGGGCUUCGGUUACCGCGGGACGAUCUAGGCUGUGCACGGACACGGCAAGGCUGCGCGUCCUGCUUGUAUAGAGAGAAGGCAGUUGCUGUAGUAUUUGGAUUCAAGGACCGUUUUGAGCUCAGCUACUUCAGUGGGAUUCAAUCGGGCCACUAAUUCCUCUGAGUCUAUAAAUGAGGAUGAUAAUAAUUAUAAAUGCUGUAUCUCUUUUGCUGUGUUGUUCUAAGGGGAGAAGCAACCAAUCUGUUUGAACAUGCUUUGCAAACCAUUAUAUGGGUCACCAAUGUUCUUAUUAGCAUGGGUUCUAUUCCUAUUUUAUAGAGAAUGGAGUCAGUGAUUGAGAUGAGUCCUCUGUUACCCAGUUAUAUAAGGUUGGGUCCCUGGCCCCAGGCCCUCAGGUGUUCUAAUGAUUCACAAGUGUUUAUUCCCUUACUUUGACCCACACUUUGAACUGUAGUCAAUAAAUAUAAAAUUAGAAUAGUCAA